UACAGAGGGGGCAAGCGUUGUUCGGAAUUACUGGGCGUAAAGGGCGCGUAGGUGGCCUUCUAAGUUGAACGUGAAAUCCCUGGGCUCAACCCAGGAACUGCGUCCAAGACUGGGAGGCUUGAAUCCGGGAGAGGGAUGCGGAAUUCCAGGUGUAGCGGUGAAAUGCGUAGAUAUCUGGAGGAACACCGGUGGCGAAGGCGGGUCUCUGGGCAGUAACUGACGCUGAGGAGCGAAAGCGUGGGGAGCGAACAGG
rnacentral:rRNA from 1 species